rnacentral:rRNA from 1 species
UACGUAGGGGGCUAGCGUUGUCCGGAAUCAUUGGGCGUAAAGCGCGCGUAGGCGGCCCUGUUAGUCCGCUGUAAAAGUCAAAGGCUCAACCUUUGAAUGCCGGUGGAUACUGCAGGGCUAGAGUCCGGAAGAGGCGAGUGGAACUCCUGGUGUAGCGGUGGAAUGCGCAGAUAUCAGGAAGAACACCGAUGGCGAAGGCAGCUCGCUGGGACGGUACUGACGCUGAGGCGCGAAAGCGUGGGGAGCGAACAGG